AGAUCUGUAGCUUAAAAGUUAAAGUACAUAAUUACGAAUUAUAUUAUAAAGGUUAAAUUCCUUUCAGAUCUU
rfam:Babesia bovis strain T2Bo apicoplast, complete genome, whole genome shotgun sequence.